CCUACGGGGGGCAGCAGUGGGGAAUUGUUCGCAAUGGGCGAAAGCCUGACGACGCAACGCCGCGUGGAGGAUGAAGGUCUUCGGAUUGUAAACUCCUGUUGCCAGGGACGAAUGGCCUGCGCGUGAACAGCGCGUGGGAGUGACGGUACCUGGUGAGGAAGCCCCGGCUAACUCUGUGCCAGCAGCCGCGGUAAUACAGAGGGGGCGAGCGUUGUUCGGAAUUGCUGGGCGUAAAGGGCGCGUAGGCGGCGAAAUCCCCCGGCUCAACCGGGGAACUGCGUCUGGGACUGGCGGGCUCGAAUCCGGGAGAGGGAUGCGGAAUUCCAGGUGUAGCGGUGAAAUGCGUAGAUAUCUGGAGGAACACCGGUGGCGAAGGCGGCAUCCUGGACCGGCAUUGACGCUGAGGCGCGAAAGCCAGGGGAGCAAACGGGAUUAGAUACCCGUGUAGUC
rnacentral:rRNA from 1 species